rnacentral:rRNA from 1 species
UACGAAGGGGGCUAGCGUUGUUCGGAAUUACUGGGCGUAAAGCGUGCGCAGGCGGCUUCUCAAGUCAGGGGUGAAAGCCCAGAGCUCAACUCUGGAAUUGCCUUUGAGACUGAGUGGCUUGAGUACGAGAGAGGUGAGUGGAAUUCCCAGUGUAGAGGUGAAAUUCGUAGAUAUUGGGAAGAACACCGGUGGCGAAGGCGACUAUCUGGACCGACAUUGACGCUGAGGCGCGAAAGCGUGGGGAGCAAACAGG